rnacentral:tRNA from 1 species
GUCCGGAUAGCGAAGUCGGUAGAGCGUCAGGCUUUUAAUCUGAGGAGCAAGGGUUCAAGUCCCUGCUUAGGCA